rnacentral:lncRNA from 1 species
UGAUAGUGCUUCCCUGCUUUUAACCGCUUUGCCCCCUCAUCUGCAAAAGUUCUUUUCUGUAUCCAUUCUAGUCCUCUGGUCUCCUGUUGAAUCUUGUACCUUUGCACUCUUGUUCUCUCUCUCUCUCUCUCUCUCUCUGGUCAGGAGAACAUUUUUCCAUACUACCAACCAUGGUCUUUGUUGGUGCAUGUUGUAAGAGUGUCCAUUGAGCGGCUUUUUGUUAUACUGGAGAUAUAAAAUGAUCGUGGGCAUGCAGGCCAUAGAUGCACCCUAUCUGUACCGAAAAUUAUGCAUGAACAUUGGCUGAGUGAUCGAUGAGCUGUAAAGAAAUUUCAAAGGACUACCGUUGAGGAAGAGGAGUGUGACUCUAAUGGCAGAUGGACUCCUGGACAGAACAUUCCAGCGUCUUACUGGCCACAUUAUUAUCUCAUCCUCGUAACCAUUCGUUUAUCAGGUUUGGGUUUCCAGGACUGAGAGGUGGGAAGACCCGAGGUGGGGGCUCAGCACUGGGUGCCCUAGCCAGACGCCCCGGUCCUCUUUAAAGCUGGCAGGGUGUAAAUGACAUACACCCUCCCUAUUGCGAGGACACCCUUGGGACAGCAGCCUUUCAAGGGCAGUGUAAGGGGUUCCGUGAUUGCCCUAACAGAUUGCUGCGUUUCUUGAAGUUCUUGGUUUACACCUAACUGGAGCUACUUCCUCCCUGGCAGGUGGAGUGAUACAGAUUCGCCCUCUUCUGGUUGCCCGUGUUGAGCCCUUGCUUGCCUGCAGUGCCUGGCCUUAAAGUGAGGGUCCCUAUUCUUUCUGCCAGUGGGCGGGGAAAGCUGAUGCCAAGGAGGUCUCUUCCUCCUGUCUUCCCCUCCUUCCUGAAAUUCCACCAAUAGAGAACCAUUUCUUGGGCUCUGCCAAGGGACCAGACUCUUAUAAAGCAAAUGCCCCUGAGCACCUUUCCCUGACACUAAUUGAUCAGGUACCUUCUCUUCUCCUCCAGAAGGAGGGAAGCUAAUGUGUGUUUAGGCCACACUGUGUGCCAGGCACUUGGUAUGCAAGUCACGGAACGCUCAUCAUAGCCGUGUGAAAGAGGGAGUCUUUCCCCAUGUUGUAGAGGAGAGAUUGGGAGACUCCCCAAGAUCCCGUGGCUGAAGUGGAGUCAGAACUCCAACCGCCUUCCAUCUGGUUCCUUAGCUGAGUGAGGCCCAGGUGGCUGGAAAAGAGAGGAGGUGAGGAGGUCCCAGGAGGGUCAGGACUCAAAAGCCCAUCCUUCUGCUGAGGUCCAGCUCUGCACACCUCCCUCCCCCUCCCCAGUAAAAGUAAACAACCCCUGGGAGCUCCUCAGGCUCUAGCAGGAUGUCCCACAAAUCAGGACAAAAGGGUGGUGAGAAAUAAAAGAACUGUC